AUUGGACGCUGGCGGCAUGCCUUACACAUGCAAGUCGAACGGUAACAGGUCUUCGGAUGCUGACGAGUGGCGAACGGGUGAGUAAUACAUCGGAACGUGCCCAGACGUGGGGGAUAACGAGGCGAAAGCUUUGCUAAUACCGCAUACGAUCUAAGGAUGAAAGCAGGGGACCGCAAGGCCUUGUGCGUUUGGAGCGGCCGAUGGCAGAUUAGGUAGUUGGUGGGAUAAAAGCUUACCAAGCCGACGAUCUGUAGCUGGUCUGAGAGGACGACCAGCCACACUGGGACUGAGACACGGCCCAGACUCCUACGGGAGGCAGCAGUGGGGAAUUUUGGACAAUGGGCGAAAGCCUGAUCCAGCAAUGCCGCGUGCAGGAUGAAGGCCUUCGGGUUGUAAACUGCUUUUGUACGGAACGAAAAGGCUCUGGCUAAUACCUGGGGCACAUGACGGUACCGUAAGAAUAAGCACCGGCUAACUACGUG
rnacentral:rRNA from 1 species